rnacentral:rRNA from 1 species
UACAGAGGGUGCAAACGUUGUUCGGAAUUACUGGGCGUAAAGCGAGUGUAGGCGGUCCGCUAAGUCGGGUGUGAAAGCCCUGGGCUCAACCCAGGAAGUGCACUCGAAACUGGCGGGCUAGAGUAUCGGAGAGGUUGGUGGAAUUCUCGGUGUAGAGGUGAAAUUCGUAGAUAUCUGGAGGAACACCGGUGGCGAAGGCGGCGUUCUGGACUGUUUCUGACGCUGAAUAACGAAAGCCAGGGGAGCAAACGGG